rnacentral:rRNA from 1 species
UGGACAAUGGGCGCAAGCCUGAUCCAGCAAUGCCGCGUGCAGGAUGAAGGCCUUCGGGUUGUAAACUGCUUUUGUACGGAACGAAAAGCCCUGGGUUAAUACCCUGGGGUCAUGACGGUACCGUAAGAAUAAGCACCGGCUAACUACGUGCCAGCAGCCGCGGUAAUACGUAGGGUGCAAGCGUUAAUCGGAAUUACUGGGCGUAAAGCGUGCGCAGGCGGUUUUGUAAGACAGAGGUGAAAUCCCCGGGCUCAACCUGGGAACUGCCUUUGUGACUGCAAGGCUAGAGUACGGCAGAGGGGGAUGGAAUUCCGCGUGUAGCAGUGAAAUGCGUAGAUAUGCGGAGGAACACCGAUGGCGAAGGCAAUCCCCUGGGCCUGUACUGACGCUCAUGCACGAAAGCGUGGGGAGCAAACAGGAUUAGAUACCCUGGUAGUCCACGCCCUAAACGAUGUCAACUGGUUGUUGGGUCUUAACUGACUCAGUAACGAAGCUAACGCGUGAAGUUGACCGCCUGG